CACACGAUGCACCUUAAUUAGUUAAUAUAAAGCUGAUAUGAAAGUGGACUUUGUAGAAUUUGUAGAGUUUCAGUAGAAUUUCUCAUAAAGAAGCGAAAUUGAGACCCGGCCAUUAUCUUUGGUGAAAUAUUCCUGGGUUCAAACUUCAAGGUUUUUAUUUGGAACAACCAAAUCACCAGUGUUUAUAUUUCCUCGUUCUUUCUUCAUGACAACAAAAGAGCGCAUGACUUUAUGAGUACUAAUACAAUCUUAGAAUAAUAAUCAUAGUAAAAAAAAAAGCCUAAGCACUUUUACUGGUCUUGUGAUGUCAUGCUCCUUCCCAGUUCGCUCUCGGAUUAUCUCAGGUAUGCAGCCAAACAGGAAACAGGUAGUAGGAGAAUGGAACCAUGAAGAACAUUAGGCGUUAAAGGUUUAGACAGCGUGAAGCGUCUGAUACGAGAUGACAUAAAGACACGGCUGUGGAAUUUGCGACAGGGGUAGCAUGACACGCUGACAUGUUGAGGUGAGGCGUGAAGCUGAAGGAGCUUUAGAUCUGUGUACAUUCAUCAAGAGAAAGCACACACGAGCGUGACCUGCGAGGAGGAAACUUUCACACAUACUCAUCCCUGAGGCUGCAGUGGGUGUGGACAACAUGAAGACAUGGUGUGAGGUUAAAGUUUGACUGGAAGAUCUCACAUGUGUCCUGAACAGAGCCCUAACUCUGACUCAACCCCACUGAACACCUUUGGGAUGAACUGGAACUGGAGUCUCUUCACCAUCCCGACAUCAGCGUCUGAUCUCUCGAGCAAAGGGAAAUAAAUCUGAAAGAUGAUGUUCAACAUGUACAGGGUAACAUGUGAAAUGGUCAGCUUUCCACAAAUGUUUGUCUGAUUCCAUAAAUCAGCUGGUCAUUGAAUGUAUAAAUCAACAAGCUGGUAACUCAGUCUAA